AUUCUUCUCCUUUAAAACCACUCAUCAACGCCAUUUUGAUCAGUACUCUGAACUGGGGCCAUUUUUCAUCAAAUUUUCUUCAUAUUUCAAAUGCAAAGUCUCAUGUCAGUCCAUCUAACCACUCAUCAGCAAGGUAAUUUUCUGAUUAAUGAAGCAUUUCUUUUAGUCAUUUAUUUGUUUUAUUAUACAUUAACGUACGUGGUCAAAAAUAGCAAAGGAAUCAAAUUGAAACUGAUUUCAUUGCCAUUUUUCGACAAAUUAUUAUCAACUACACCAACUUGCUUACUUUCAUUUUUAACCUCUAUUAACUUUAAUGUGAUGGGCACAAACACUCUUUAUUAUUCCUUCAAACUUAAGUUUUCUCCCCGACCAGUUCUUGAGCUCUUCAAAGUUCUGUACUAACAAUGGCAAUGCAAUCUCUUCUUCCCCAUGAUGAUGAACCAAUAAAUGCUUAUUCAAUUUUUCAUCCCACUCUGCAACCUCUCCCUCACCCUGACAUAUCAAAACAUGUUUAUUCGAUUUCUCAUCUCACUCCCUAACCAGAUCACAACAACAUCGACACCCUUACCAUGAUUAUGCUUUUAAUCUUCUUGGUAUUAAUGGUGUUGUACAUCACAAAACUUAUUACCCGAUGAAUUCAGAAUUAUGGUGGUGGCAGUGAAAUUAGCUAGCAGGUGGAAAUGAUGCAACCAGGUGGCAGUGAAAUUGAUCAGCACAUGGAAAUCAUGCAACCAUGAGACAAUUUGGAGAAUCCGGGUGAGUCUGCAGACCCGCUGUUGAUUAUCACCUACAAUGAUGAUAUUCUUCUUCCGUUCGACCGGAACGGGUGCAUUAUAUGCCUCAACCAAUUUGCUGAGUCGGAGCAAAUUGUUGUGGUGUCCGCUUGCAGUCAUGCAUUCCACUCCGAGUGCAUGGAAGCUUACUUGGUUAAAAGGUCGCUUGGGUGCCCUCUUUGCCAAACGUCAAUCAUCCCAGAUAUUUAGUUUUUGUUUUUUGAAGUUUAAAUUUUGGGGCGAUGUACGGUUAUCAAUUUGUAACCUUUGAGAAAUGAGUAUUUUUCAAAUUGCUCGAGGCAUAUUGAUACCCGUACGUCUGUCAAAAUUUAAACUUCAAAAAACAAAAAACAAAAUAUCUGGGAUGAUUGGCGUUCGGCAAAGGAGGCACGCCAACGGCCCUUCAACCAAGUAAGCUUCUAUGCACUCGAAGUGGAAUGCAUGGCUGCAAGCGGACACCAUAACAAUUUGCUCCAACUCAGCAAAUUGGUUGAGGCAUAUAACGCACCCGUUCUGGUCGAACAGAAGAGGAAUAUCAUCACUAUAGGUGAUGAUCAACAAAGGGGCUACAGAUUCACCUGAGUUCUCCAAAUUGUCUCCUGGUUGCAUCAUUUCCACGUGAUGAUCAAUUUCACUGCCACCUGGUUGCAUCAUUUCCACCUACUAGCCAAUUUCAUUGCCACAAUUCUGUAUACAUCGGUUAAUAAGUUUUGUGAUGUACAACACCAUUGAUACCAAGAAGAUUAAAAGCAAAAUCAUGGUAAGAGUGUCAAUGUGGUUGUGAUCCGGUUAGGGAGUGGGACGAGAAACCGAAUAAACAUGUUUUGGUAUGUCAGGGUGGGGAAGAGGCUGCAGAGUGGGACGGGAAACCGAAUAACCAUUUAUUGGUCAUCAUCAAGGGGAAGAAGAGACUCCAUUACCAUUGUUAGUGCAAAACUUUGAAGAGCUCAAGAACUGGUCGGGGAGAAAACUUAAGUUUGAAGGAAUAAUAAAGAGUGUUUGUGUCCUUCACAUUAAAGUUAAUAGAGGUUAAAAAUGAAAGUAAGCAAGUUGGUGUAGUUGAUAAUAAUUUGUCGAAAAAUGGCAAUGAAAUCAGUUUCAAUUUGAUUCCUUUGCUAUUUUUGACCACGUACGUUAAUGUAUAAUAAAACAAAUAAAUGACUAAAAGAAAUGCUUCAUUAAUCAGAAAAUUACCUUGCUGAUGAGUGGUUAGAUGGACUGACAUGAGACUUUGCAUUUGAAAUAUGAAGAAAAUUUGAUGAAAAAUGGCCCCAGUUCAGAGUACUGAUCAAAAUGGCGUUGAUGAGUGGUUUUAAAGGAGAAGAAUAGAAGAUACUUCUAUACUAGAUAGGCUACUCAAUUCAAUUCUAUACUAGAUACUACUUCACUAAUCAGAAAAUUACCUUGCUGAUGAGUGGUUUGAUGGACUGACAUGGGACUUUGCAUUUGAAAUUUGAUGAAAAAUGACCUGAGUUUAGAGUACUGAUCAAAAUGGCGUUGCUUAUUAGUGGCUUUAAAGAAGAAGAAUAGAAGAUACUACUAUACUAGAUAGGGUACUCAAUUCUAUACAAAGGCACUCUACUAAUAGGAUUCAGAUCCCCUCAGAUUUUAAACAAUUUGAGAUUUUCAAAAUUGUGGCAAUUGGUUGCAUCCAAAGGCCACGAUUUCAAGUCGGGUUAACCAGCUUUAAAAGAAAAAUCAUAACGGUAACAGCCUGUUUCUCUCUCCAAAUUUUCAUUUCCUCCCACCUUUCUCUCUCCCCCAAGUUCUUUCCCUCCCGCCAAGCAGUGCCGGCCACCACCAAGCAAUGUAGCCACCGCCAUCCAAUGCCUCCGUCCACCACAAGCAAUCCCACCAUCCGGCUGAUCUCCGUCAACCUCACGCGGUUUGAUCACCCCCGCCCACCCACCCACCAUGACACCAACGGUAUGUUUUUCUUUUGAUUCUUUCUUAUUUUUUUGGGUUCAGCAAGUUUUUUUUUGGGGGGGAUAUAUAGAAAGUUGCAAAUAAUUUUUAAUCUGCAUUGUGGUUUGUUUCUUUCUUGCUUUAUAGGUUUAGACUGAGCUUUGAUCGAAGAUGGGUUUUCUCUCUUUCAUCUUAAGCUUAAAUUUCACCGUUUCUCCUUCACGGUUCUCUUAACCUGACCCUGCAUUUUGCCUUUGUUAGUUUUGAUGUUUCUCAAGUAUGAUUUUUUUCAUUUGUUGCCUAUGUAGCUUCAAUGAUUGGGUGUUUAUUUUAUUUAACUUUUUUGAAGUUUCAUUAUUUUUAGUAGCAAUCUGUGUACGUUUUCUUUUUUAUGUAGUUGUUUUCUUUCUUGGGAAUUUCUGAGUAGCAUUGAAGUUCAUAGUGUUUUCAUUUGGCUUAGUGAUGGAUUCCUUUGGUGAUAAGUGGGAUGAGGAAUUCUCUACCAUUGGAGACAAAGGAGAAAUCAGUUUUAUUGAUUAUGGGGAUGAGGGUCCUAUUGCUAUUUCUGCCCCAUUUACUCUCGUGGGGGGAAAGCCUCAAUCAGUAACCGUAGGAGAAACUGCUGCAGUUCUUGAUGCAAUUCUGUGAUGCAGUUCUUGAAAACAGGGUCUCCCCAAGCACUUUUGUGAUGCACAUUUGCCUAAGCAUGAUACCAAAAUUGUUUUGGAAGAUGAAGGUGGGGAAGAAUUUUGAAACAAAAUAUCUUGAGAAAUGCUAGAAAUGCACCCCUCAUCCCCCCUUUGUCUCCCCCUUUUCCUUAAAAAAAUUGAUUUUAAGGAAAAAGUUGUCUCUGAUGUCACAUCAAAGACAACUUUUUCCUUUGAGAAAUGCUAAAAAACAUCCCUUCAUCCCCCCUUCAUACCCCCCUUUUCAUUAAAACCAAUUUAUUUAAUGAAAAGGGAGGAUGAGAGGAGGAUGAGGGGUGCAUGUGUAGCACCCCUCUUUUCCUUUUAUUACAAAGGGAGGAUGAGGGGGGGAUGAGGUGUGCAUGUGUAGCAUGGCUCAAAUAUCUUUGGGUAAAGGUGGGACUAAGUGCUGGAUGGAGAGGGUUUUCUAUCACUCACAAGUUACUGGUGGGAGAUAUCGUGAUUUUCCAUUUAGUCAAGCCUUCCAAGUUUAAGGUGGUCAUUUGAACCUUCUUGUUGUUGCUUAUAGCUUACCUUGAGCCCAAACUCCUUGAGUGCUUAUAAUAAAUACUAUUUACAUUGCUUGGUGUUGAUUAUUUCAUCAAAGUACCCAAUUUAUUUUUAAAGUGAAGGACAACCAUUCUGCAGAAACUGAAAUGGACCAAAGAGUUGGCUUAAUCAAUUAUUUUGUAAUUUUUUUCCUUAACAAAUAACUCUCCUAAAGGCCUCAUCCACUUCUUUUCUCUUUCCAAUGCAUGUUGCUUAAAAGGAUAUAAUUUAUGAUGCUGCUUGCAGCAGUUACUUGUCAAUGCUAUUAUAUGUGUAAUUUUUACCUGACCCAUUUUAGGUAUACAUUGUGAGAUCUAGUAGUUCAGAUGAAGUGGAUGGUGCUUUUACCCUCUUAAAAUUGGAUACUUGCAUGAAACAAAUGAAUUGGCAAUACGAAAACCAAUGCUUGUGAAGAGUCGGUAAAUGACGGUUUGGAGCCUCCUUCUCAAGAAAAUACUAUGGAUAGCCGGAUGGUCUGUGGUACUGAUCUCGGGCCAAUAGCUUGUGAAUAUUUCACUGAAAUCAAAGAGGUAUAAAGAAGCUAGGCUUGAACGAGAUCAUGCAGAAGAGGAGAAGCUUUUGGAAAUAAAAGAGAGAAUGAAUAGCCUUGAUGCCGAGAUUGAGAAUCUGGAUCCCACUGCUGAGAGGCUUGAGCUUAUGUUUGAAGAACUGGCUAAUGCCCCUUGGUAAUGAGGAAUUUGUCAUUGGUUCCAAGCUUUUGUGUGAAGUAUAAGAACUAUUCCAGGACCAGGAAUAUGUCGAUGCUUGACAGUGAAGAGCGGUUUUGUUUUACUGGUAUAUUGCUUUUUUUUGUUAAGUUUCUCUCACAUAAAUUGAUAGUUUCACAAAGGAUCACUUUUUAUCAGCACUAUAACUAUCUUUUUGUAAGUUAAGGUGAUUAAUGAUAGGGAUGGAUGACUGGAGAAACUCGUACAACUGUUAGCAAUAGCCAGAGGAGAUAUUAUUGUAUCUAUUGGCUCUCUCUUUUAUAAGCUUUUCGACGAUUACCUAUUAUAAAAGCUGUAAUUAUUAGACAA